rnacentral:rRNA from 1 species
UUUCUAUGGAAGCUUGCUUCCACUGAGAAGAUAGUGGCGAACGGGUGAGUAACACGUGGGUAACCUGCCCAUAAGAGGGGGGAUAACAUCCGGAAACGGGUGCUAAUACCGCAUAGUUUUCUUGAUCGCAUGAUUGAGAAAGGAAAGACGGCCUUUGUGCUGUCGCUUAUGGAUGGACCCGCGGCGUAUUAGUUAGUUGGUGAGGUAAUGGCUCACCAAGACGAUGAUACGUAGCCGACCUGAGAGGGUGAUCGGCCACAUUGGGACUGAGACACGGCCCAAACUCCUACGGGAGGCAGCAGUAGGGAAUCUUCCGCAAUGGACGAAAGUCUGACGGAGCAACGCCGCGUGAGUGAAGAAAGGUUUUCGGAUCGUAAAACUCUGUUGUCAGAGAAGAACAAGUUGGAGAGUAACUGCUCCAGCCUUGACGGUAUCUGACCAGAAAGCCACGGCUAACUACGUGCCAGCAGCCGC